rnacentral:rRNA from 1 species
GUGAGGAAUAUUGGUCAAUGGGCGAGAGCCUGAACCAGCCAAGUCGCGUGAAGGAAGAAGGAUCUAUGGUUCGUAAACUUCUUUUGCAGGGGAAUAAAGUGCGGGACGUGUCCUGUUUUGUAUGUACCCUGAGAAUAAGGAUCGGCUAACUCCGUGCCAGCAGCCGCGGUAAUACGGAGGAUCCGAGCGUUAUCCGGAUUUAUUGGGUUUAAAGGGUGCGUAGGUGGUUUGAUAAGUCAGCGGUGAAAGUUUGCAGCUUAACUGUAAAAAUGCCGUUGAAACUGUCGGACUUGAGUGUAAAUGAGGUAGGCGGAAUGCGUGGUGUAGCGGUGAAAUGCAUAGAUAUCACGCAGAACUCCGAUUGCGAAGGCAACUUACUAAGCUACAACUGACACUGAAGCACGAAAGCGUGGGGAUCAAACAGGAUUAGAAACCCUGGUGGUCC